CCCUUAGAUGUCCGGGGCUGCACGCGCGCUACACUGAAGGAAUCAGCGUGCUAAAACCAUUGUCGAAAGGCAUUGGUAAACCCAUUAAAAUCCUACGUGAUUGGGAUCGGGAAUUGCAAUUAUUUCCCUUGAACGAGGAAUUCCCAAUAAGUGUGGGUCAUAAGCUCGCGUUGAUUACGUCCCUGCCCUUUGUACACACCGCCCGUCGCUGCCCGGGACUGAGCCGUUUCGAGAAAAGCGGGGACUGCUGCUGUCGGGGCUUUCGGGCCUUGGCUUCGGUGGAAACCGCUUUAAUCGCAGUGGCUUGAACCGGGCAAAAGUCGUAACA
rnacentral:rRNA from 1 species